GCCGGGCACAGUGGCUCAUGCCUGUAAUCCCAGCACUUUGGGAGGCUGAGGCGGGUGGAUCACCUGAGGUCAGGAGUUCGAGACCAGCCUGGCCAACAUGGUGAAACCCCGUCUCUA
rnacentral:SRP_RNA from 1 species